rnacentral:rRNA from 1 species
AUGCACGCUGGCGGCGUGCCUAAUACAUGCCAGUCGAGCGAACAGACGAGGAGCUUGCUCCUCUGACGUUAGCGGCGGACGGGUGAGUAACACGUGGAUAACCUACCUAUAAGACUGGGAUAACUUCGGGAAACCGGAGCUAAUACCGGAUAAUAUAUUGAACCGCAUGGUUCAAUAGUGAAAGACGGUUUUGCUGUCACUUAUAGAUGGAUCCGCGCCGCAUUAGCUAGUUGGUAAGGUAACGGCUUACCAAGGCAACGAUGCGUAGCCGACCUGAGAGGGUGAUCGGCCACACUGGAACUGAGACACGGUCCAGACUCCUACGGGAGGCAGCAGUAGGGAAUCUUCCGCAACGGGCGAAAGCCUGACGGAGCAACGCCGCGUGAGUGAUGAAGGUCUUCGGAUCGUAAAACUCUGUUAUUAGGGAAGAACAAAUGUGUAAGUAACUAUGCACGUCUUGACGGUACCUAAUCAGAAAGCCACGGCUAACUACGUG